rnacentral:rRNA from 1 species
UGGGGAAUUUUGGACAAUGGGCGAAAGCCUGAUCCAGCAAUGCCGCGUGUGUGAAGAAGGCCUUCGGGUUGUAAAGCACUUUUGUCCGGAAAGAAAUCCUUGGCUCUAAUACAGUCGGGGGAUGACGGUACCGGAAGAAUAAGCACCGGCUAACUACGUGCCAGCAGCCGCGGUAAUACGUAGGGUGCAAGCGUUAAUCGGAAUUACUGGGCGUAAAGCGUGCGCAGGCGGUUUGCUAAGACCGAUGUGAAAUCCCCGGGCUAACCUGGGAACUGCAUUGGUGACUGGCAGGCUAGAGUAUGGCAGAGGGGGGUAGAAUUCCACGUGUAGCAGUGAAAAUGCGUAGAGAUGUGGAGGAAUACCGAUGGCGAAGGCAGCCCCCCUGGGCCAAAUACUGACGCUCAUGCACGAAAAGGCGUGGGGAGCAAAACAGAUUAGAUACCCCUGGUAGUCCACGCCCUAAACGAUGUCAACUAGUUGUGGGGAUUCAUUUCCUUAGUAACGUAGCUAACGCGUGAAGUUGACCGCCUGGGGAGUACGUCGCAA